rnacentral:tRNA from 1 species
UGACUUCUAGAGUAAUUGGCAACUCGGCUCUUUUUGGUAGAGUAGAUUCCCUGUUCGAAUCAGGGGAAGUCAG